GACGGGUGAGUAAUGCCUAGGAAUCUGCCUGGUAGUGGGGGAUAACGCUCGGAAACGGACGCUAAUACCGCAUACGUCCUACGGGAGAAAGCAGGGGACCUUCGGGCCUUGCGCUAUCAGAUGAGCCUAGGUCGGAUUAGCUAGUUGGUGAGGUAAUGGCUCACCAAGGCGACGAUCCGUAACUGGUCUGAGAGGAUGAUCAGUCACACUGGAACUGAGACACGGUCCAGACUCCUACGGGAGGCAGCAGUGGGGAAUAUUGGACAAUGGGCGAAAGCCUGAUCCAGCCAUGCCGCGUGUGUGAAGAAGGUCUUCGGAUUGUAAAGCACUUUAAGUUGGGAGGAAGGGCAUUUACCUAAUACGUAAGUGUUUUGACGUUACCGACAGAAUAAGCACCGGCUAACUCUGUGCCAGCAGCCGCGGUAAUACAGAGGGUGCAAGCGUUAAUCGGAAUUACUGGGGGGUAAAGCGCGCGUAGGUGGUUUGUUAAGUUGGAUGUGAAAUCCCCGGGCUCAACCUGGGAACUGCAUUCAAAACUGACAAGCUAGAGUAUGGUAGAGGGUGGUGGAAUUUCUUUGUGUAGCGGUGAAAUGCGUAAAUAUAGGAAGGAACCCCACGUGGUAGAUGGCGAUCGACUUGGGACUGGAUACUGACCACUGAGGUUGCAAACGUCGUGGGCU
rnacentral:rRNA from 1 species